UACGUAGGGUGCGAGCGUUAAUCGGAAUUACUGGGCGUAAAGCGUGCGCAGGCGGUUUUGUAAGCCAGAUGUGAAAUCCCCGGGCUUAACCUGGGAAUGGCAUUUGGGACUGCAAGGCUGGAGUGUGGCAGAGGGGACUGGAAUUCCUGGUGUAGCAGUGAAAUGCGUAGAGAUCAGGAGGAAUACCGAUGGCGAAGGCAGGUCCCUGGGUUAACACUGACGCUCAUGCACGAAAGCGUGGGGAGCAAACAGG
rnacentral:rRNA from 1 species